AGCAGUAGCCACGGUAAUACGUAGGUGGCAAGCGUUGUCCGGAAUUAUUGGGCGUAAAGGGCUCGCAGGCGGUUUCUUAAGUCUGAUGUGAAAGCCCCCGGCUCAACCGGGGAGGGUCAUUGGAAACUGGGAAACUUGAGUGCAGAAGAGGAGAGUGGAAUUCCACGUGUAGCGGUGAAAUGCGUAGAGAUGUGGAGGAACACCAGUGGCGAAGGCGACUCUCUGGUCUGUAACUGACGCUGAGGAGCGAAAGCGUGGGGAGCGAACAGGAUUAGAUACCCGGGUAGUCCCUGUCUCUUAUAC
rnacentral:rRNA from 1 species